rnacentral:rRNA from 1 species
UGGGGAAUAUUGCACAAUGGGGGGAACCCUGAUGCAGCCAUGCCGCGUGUGUGAAGAAGGCCUUCGGGUUGUAAAGCACUUUCAGCGAGGAGGAAAGGUCAGUAGCUAAUAUCUGCUGGCUGUGACGUUACUCGCAGAAGAAGCACCGGCUAACUCCGUGCCAGCAGCCGCGGUAAUACGGAGGGUGCAAGCGUUAAUCGGAAUUACUGGGCGUAAAGCGCACGCAGGCGGUUGGAUAAGUUAGAUGUGAAAGCCCCGGGCUCAACCUGGGAAUUGCAUUUAAAACUGUCCAGCUAGAGUCUUGUAGAGGGGGGUAGAAUUCCAGGUGUAGCGGUGAAAUGCGUAGAGAUCUGGAGGAAUACCGGUGGCGAAGGCGGCCCCCUGGACAAAGACUGACGCUCAGGUGCGAAAGCGUGGGGAGCAAACAGG